UUCAGCUGUGGCGUCACUGUCUCCACUACUAACAAUUUUGCCUCAAGUAAUAAUUUAUGUUAGUGUUCUUGUUUAUCAAGGAGACGUCAGUGCCAGCAAAGAGCUUGAGAUGAAAUAUGAGACAUGUGAUGUGGGAGGAAAACAAAAGACAAAUACAAAAAGGUGAGGUCACACAAAUCUGGGGCAAGACAAGGAGGUCAGAGGCAGUUGAACCAAAAGCGUGUGAAGGUGAUCUGCUGAUACUCGCUGUUUGUGUUUGUCUGUGUGUGUCUGGGGGGCUGAAGCAAAGGAAGGGGAUGAAAGAGGCAAAGCCAGGCCAAGGGUGGGAAGGGGAGCUGCGUGUAAACAUCCUGCGGGCAACGGGACUCGUCCUGGGAAAUAUUUGUCUUAACUGGUAACGCAAAGAGGCAGCCAAAGCCUUCAUCUGGCCCUCAGCUAUUUUCUCAGAAAAUCUGGAGGGAUGAAGGUCGGAGAGGAGACGGACAGAGAGAGAGAGAGUAUAGUGAUGAGUAAAGAGCAGAGACGUCAUUUACAGUGCAUGGAAACAUGGACGAUUUUGUCCCCACUACUUUAUGUCACCAAAAAUUUGGGGAAAAACGUGUUUUGUCUUGUGGCAUUGGCAAAUUUUUUUAGUGUCAAGUAUAAACCAGCUAAAAGUUUUUUACAUAUUUGAAAGAAGUCUCUUUUGCUCACCAAAGCUGCAUUUAUUUGAUCAAAAAUACAGUAAAAGCAGUAAUAUUGAGUGAAAUAUUAUUACAAUUUCAAAUAACUGUUCUCUAUGUGAAUAUAUGUGAUAGUUUAUUCCUCUGAUCAAAACUGAAUUAUCAGCAUCAUUACGCCAUCCUUCAGAAAUCAUUCUAAUGUGCUGCUCAAGAAACAUUUCUGAUUAUUAUCAGUGUGGAAAUAAAUGUGUUGCUUUAUAUUUUUGUGGAAACCA
ensembl:lncRNA